GUUUGACUCCGUGGCUCAGGACGAACGCUGGCGGCGUGCUUAACACAUGCAAGUCGAACGGAAAGGCCCUGCUUUUGUGGGGUGCUCGAGUGGCGAACGGGUGAGUAACACGUGAGUAACCUGCCCUUGACUUUGGGAUAACUUCAGGAAACUGGGGCUAAUACCGGAUAGGAGCUCCUGCUGCAUGGUGGGGGUUGGAAAGUUUCGGCGGUUGGGGAUGGACUCGCGGCUUAUCAGCUUGUUGGUGGGGUAGUGGGCUUACCAAGGCUUUGACGGGUAGCCGGCCUGAGAGGGUGACCGGCCACAUUGGGACUGAGAUACGGCCCAGACUCCUACGGGAGGCAGCAGUGGGGAAUAUUGCACAAUGGGCGGAAGCCUGAUGCAGCAACGCCGCGUGCGGGAUGACGGCCUUCGGGUUGUAAACCGCUUUCGCCUGUGACGAAGCGUGAGUGACGGUAAUGGGUAAAGAAGCACCGGCUAACUACGUG
rnacentral:rRNA from 1 species